GAUCGGGUAGGAUGAUGUUCGCACUAACCUCUUCAUUGAUAACACUAACUAUAUGGGCUACUCCAUCCAAACGAUAAAGUCGGUUCGAAUUAUCCCCCAUCGACUAAAUAUUCUACUCAAGCCUUUGUUGGAGUCGUAAUGGAUCGCUUUCUCUGGGAUUUGGUAAGGCAUUGAUUUAGAAUAGUGGUUCGAAUGAGGUUACUUCGAACUCUUUAUAUAGGGAAAACAGGGGGUAAUUCGAAACAGCCUGCUUCGAAUUACUAUGGGCACGAAAUUCUCUACUAAUUCGAAAGAUGCUGUUUCGAAUUAGUAUGAUUCGAAUUACUAUGGUAUGUGUAAUUCAAGUGGCUCUAAUACGAACUAUAUAGAAAAGUGCUCCUUGGUAGAACCUUGUAACGUUUUUAUCUUUGGUGAAAUUAUGUAAAACCACCCUCUACUUGGUUUAUAUGCGUCAUUUGCCCUAAAAAUUAACUACUAUAUAUUUGUGUAUAAAUAACUGUAUUGUUUAACUUAUUUUUAAUAUAUAUUUCGUAUUACAUGUAUUUUAUAUCAAUGAUUAAGGUAUACUUGAUAUUAUAUAUACAUAUACACACUAGUUAAGGAAUAAUGAUCAAAAGUCUUUAAAAAUUUACAAGUA